CUGGAGAGAAACAGAAGCCGGGUUUAAGCCACUGCCACCAUCCACAUACAUCGAGGAAGAUGAGGGAGAGAAAUUCUCCUACCAUUAAAGAGGGCGAUACACUCAAAGACUUUUUCAGUGGACAUUGCUGAUCUAGUUGAAAGUGGGUACUGGCCAGCAACAGUCAAUUUUAAAACCUUGUAUGCAGUGGAUUGGUUCACUAAAUAUGAGGAUCUCAAGAUUGCGGCUCUGGGAAUGUCACGGCAAGCUUUUGUUAGCAUGCCUGAACAUCGCACAAAAGUCUUAGGUCGCAGAUUAAGAUAUGUGGGGAUACCAUGCAGAAUGCAUUACUGGAAUAGACCUAUGCCAAAUUUGAAGUUGAGAGGCUGUCUCAGGUGCAGCAUUCAGUGCCCUGCGUGCACACCCUCCAUGUUGGCUUUUGCAGUGGAUGGGAUC